CCGUCACUGGCCAGGGAACUCCUACGUUGAAUAAACAAAGCUGAUGUGUAAAGAAUUCUGAAGUGUGCUUCACAAGUCACCACACACAGCUAGCCUUCUGUUGGGGUCUGGCCCAGCCCUGUGCUUGGGUAAGGACAGAAGGCUCUGGGUGACGCUCCGUGAAGGAGAACCCAGUCGCUGGGCAUUGUCUCUUGUGCGGUGAUGCUAAUGUCUAUUCUUUGGUCACAUGCCUGGCUCUGCUUUGCUGCACAGCUCUGUCUCCCACUCCGUGCUGUCUGAGAUGCAGGUGAUCGAGCAGGAAACCCCAGUGAGUGCAAAAUCCUCUCGCUCGCAGCUGGACUUGUUUGAUGAUGUUGGUACUUUCGCCUCUGGACCCCCAAAGUAAGGCUGUUUUCUAGCUGUAAAUUUGGCUGCUGUGUUCCUCAUUAGGCUUCUCUGAGCCACUCUACUGUCUCCCUAGGUACAAGGACAAUCCCUUUUCCUUAGGGGAAAGCUUUGGUUCCCGCUGGGAUACAGAUGCUGCCUGGGGU
rnacentral:sRNA from 1 species